rnacentral:lncRNA from 11 species
GAGCUGGAGAAUCACUCACUCAGUCCUGCUUCACCAUGAAGUCCUCAGGUGUCCUCCUCUUUGCGCUCCUGUCCUUCUGUGCCUUGAUGCCUGAUGCCUCUGGGAAAGAAAACCCUGGAAAAUGUCCAAAUCUUCCUCCAGAGGAAGAUAGAGGUUGUACAGAAUUUUGCAAGUCAGACGAUGACUGUGC